rnacentral:tRNA from 2 species
CUCGCGAUAGCUCAGUUGGUAGAGCGGAGGACUGUAGAUCCUUAGGUCGGUGGUUCGAAUCCGUCUCGCGAGA